GGCAAAAUCGAAUAAACGGUUAAGACUUCCUACAGGAAACUGUAACAAAACUAAAUGCCAUUUAUGUUGUGUGGCUAACGACAAGCUGGCCGACAAUUACCCAAAAUAUAAUUAAAAAUUAAAAAAAAAAAAAAAGAAACUUGUGAAUGUGAGUAACCUGAAAUGAAUUUGCCUCCGAAGAGGAAGGGGGCGUAGGUUACAGUAUUGAUGAAAGAAAGGGCGACAAGUGCGAAAAAAGAAACUGCUGAAAUUUAAAUCUAAAAAGCUCUGGAAUUUCAAAGAAACAAAUAGAAAGGAGUUACUGAGCUUUGGUUACAUCAAAAUACAAAAAAAUACGUCCCAAAAUUUUUGAUUUUGAUUCCAAAACUAAAACACUUGCUCUUUUCUUGGAAUCUUCUUAGCUUCACCUCCUCAUUUCCCAUAAGAGAAAGAGAAAGAAAAAGAGAGAAGAGAAUAAGAGAAAGAAGUAAGAGGGGUUAUGCUCAUGUAUUUAUUACGAAAAUAGAGCUGAAAUUCAAGUGGCUAAUUUUAGAUUUGGAUAGAAAGAAGAUGGACAAGAACACGACGAAGAAGAAGGAAGUGAUUAGAUUGGAAAGGGAAUCUGUCAUUCCAAUUCUUAAGCCUAAGCUCGUUAUGACCUUGGCCAACCUUAUUGAACAUACUUCUGACCGGGCUGAGUUUCUAAAGCUCUGCAAGAGAAUUGAGUAUACUAUUCGAGCUUGGUAUCUUCUCCAGUUUGAAGAUUUGAUGCAACUGUAUUCCCUCUUUGACCCUGUGAGUGGGGCUCAGAAAUUGCAGCAGCAGAAUCUAUCUCCUGAAGAAAUUGACGUCCUUGAACAGAAUUUCCUUACUUACCUAUUUCAGGUAAUGGAUAAGAGCAAUUUCAAGAUAGCAACUGAAGAGGAGAUUGAGGUUGCACACUCAGGGCAGUAUCUCUUAAAUCUUCCUAUCUCAGUUGAUGAAUCUAAGCUUGACAAGGAGGUUUUGAAGAAGUACUUUGCAGCGCAUCCUCGUGAAGAUCUUCCAGACUUUGUUGAUAAGUAUGUUAUCUUUCGUCGUGGGAUCGGAAUAGAUCGGACAACUGAUUAUUUUAUCAUGGAGAAAGUGGACAUGCUGAUUGCACGUUUUUGGGCAUAUAUUCUGAGACUGACUCGGGUAGAAAAACUUUUGCGCAGAAGGUCAAGUAUGCGGUGUAAGAAAGAUCCAAAGAAGAAUGAUGAAAUUAACUCUGAAGCAGAUCAGAAUGACUUAUGCGUUGAGCGAAUUCGACUGGAAAAUAUGGAACUGAGUGUUAGGAAUUUGCUAAGCAGUACAACUAUCCAAGAACCUACGUUUGAUAGGAUAAUAGUUGUAUACAGGCGAGCAAGUAGCAAAUUGAAGAAAGAACGAGGAAUAUAUGUGAAACAUUUCAAAAACAUCCCGAUGGCCGAUAUGGAAAUAGUUCUUCCAGAAAAGAAAAAUCCUGGUUUAACUCCUAUGGACUGGGUCAAAUUCCUAGGUUCUGCUAUAGUUGGGCUGGUUGCUCUUGUUAGUUCACUUGAAAUGCCUAAAGCUGAUCUUUGGGUCAUCUUCGCUGUCCUUUCUGCAGUGAUUGGUUACUUUGCGAAGACAUACUUCACGUUUCAGGCAAACUUGGCUGCAUAUCAGAACUUAAUUACACAGUCCAUGUAUGACAAACAGUUGGAUAGUGGAAAAGGCACUCUUCUUCACCUGUGUGAUGAUGUGAUUCAACAGGAAGUCAAAGAGGUUAUUAUCUCAUUCUUUAUAUUGAUGGAACAAGGCAAAGCUACUAUGCAGGAUUUGGAUUUGCGCUGUGAGGAACUAAUUCAAGAAGAGUUUGGAGAGAGCUGUAAUUUUGAUGUCGACGAUGCAGUUCUUAAGUUAGAGAAGUUGGGCAUUGUUGCUCGGGAUACAAUUGGACGGUAUUAUUGUGUUGGCCUAAAACGUGCCAAUGAGAUUAUUGGUACCACUACUGAAGAGCUUGUCCUCAAGGCAAAACAGGGUGUUAGUGCUUGAUGCUGUCUUUGGAAGGUGAGCUUCUUUCCAGAUCACUCCUCCAAAAACUGUUACAUGCGAUCGGCGGCUGCACCUAUGAGCAACUCAAGAUGUCUGAUUGCUAUGUACACCUGGCUAGGAGGAGAACAAAGAGUGAAGUGAAGCCUGCAGAGAGGAGCAAAACUCAAGAACAGAAGAUCUUAAUGCAUCAUAUCAGAAGACUGCAAGGGCAAAGAAGGAAAGCAAUGGGGUCUCUUUGCAGCAUUAUUUCUUAUUUAUGUGAUUUUUUUGGCCUUAACAGUAACCAAAUACCAGGCUCAGCUGGAGUUUGGUCUUGUUAUGGCUAAAACGGUAGCUAGGAAACUGCCUACCCGAAUACCGGACAUCUACAUUCAUUAUGAGUGACGGUCAUACACUGCCAAAUUAUUUUCCAAAUGAUUCUGUUUGUUUUACGUAAAAAUGUUUUCUAGUGUUCUUGGGAAGUUAUCAUAAUAAUUCUUUUCCUUUGGCA